rnacentral:tRNA from 1 species
GCAGACAUAGCUCAGCUGGUAGAGCGCGACGUUGCCAUCGUCGAGGCCGCGGAUUCGAGUUCCGCUGUCUGCUCCA